rnacentral:rRNA from 1 species
CAGUAGCCACGGUAAUACAGAGGCCUCAAGCGUUGUUCGGAUUCAUUGGGCGUAAAGGGUGCGUAGGCGGUGAGUUAAGUCUGCUGUGAAAUCCCCGGGCUCAACCUGGGAAUGGCAGUGGAUACUGGCUCGCUAGAGUGUGUCAGAGGAUGGUGGAAUUCCCGGUGUAGCGAUGAAAUGCGUAGAGAUCGGGAGGAACAUCAGUGGCGAAGGCGGCCAUCUGGGACAACACUGACGCUGAGGCACGAAAGCGUGGGGAGCAAACAGGAUUAGAUACCCCAGUAGUCCCUGUCUCUUAUAC